UGCCUUUCUGCUGUAGCCAUAACCUGCGGGGAAGGUGGGGGCCCCGUGAGGAAGACUACUAUACAAGAAGUCCCCCAUACAGUCUUCAAGGCAACUAAAGGCCCUGGACAAGGAUGCUGCGCAAUAAUAAUAUUUGCUGCAGUAUAGGACAUGAAGGAAAAGGAUAAUGCACUGCAAGGGUGAUACUUUUCUGGAAACAGAUGAAGAAUGAAAAGCCAUGCCAAAGCAGCUUGAAGGCUACUGGAAUUUCUGUGGAGGGGUCAUUGAUGGAAAACAUGUGCAAAUACAACAUCCUGCCAACUCUGGUUCCUACUAUUAUAAUUAUAAAGUGUACUUUAGUAUUGUGUUGGCACUAGUAAAUGCCAAAUGUGAAUUAUAAUAGUGGAUGUUUGGAAAAAUGGUAGAGUAUCAGAUGGAGGAGCCACAGAACAGACUUCCUUCUAUCAGCAGCUAAAGAGCAAAGAAUGAAAGUGCCUACUAAAUUAGAAAUAAAAGAAGGGCUAAAUGUUGUA